GAUGAACGCUGGCGGCGUGCUUAACACAUGCAAGUCGAACGGAAAGGCCCAAGCUUGCUUGGGUACUCGAGUGGCGAACGGGUGAGUAACACGUGGGUGAUCUGCCCUGCACUUCGGGAUAAGCCUGGGAAACUGGGUCUAAUACCGGAUAGGACCACAUUUUGGAUGGUGUGGUGGAAAGUUUUUCGGUGUGGGAUGAGCUCGCGGCCUAUCAGCUUGUUGGUUGGGUAAUGGCCUACCAAGGCGUCGACGGGUAGCCGGCCUGAGAGGGUGUACGGCCACAUUGGGACUGAGAUACGGCCCAGACUCCUACGGGAGGCAGCAGUGGGGAAUAUUGCACAAUGGGCGCAAGCCUGAUGCAGCGACGCCGCGUGGGGGAUGACGGCCUUCGGGUUGUAAACUCCUUUCGCUAGGGACGAAGCGCAAGUGACGGUACCUGGAGAAGAAGCACCGGCUAACUACGUG
rnacentral:rRNA from 1 species